UCCUGACCCCAUGCCGAACUCAGAAGUGAAACGCCGUAGCGCCGAUGGUAGUGUGGGGUCUCCCCAUGCGAGAGUAGGGAACUGCCAGGC
rnacentral:rRNA from 1 species